GCCAGCGUAGGGUAGUGGUUUGAGCAUUGGACUACGAUUUUGGUGACCAGGGUUCGAAUCCCAGCUUGGCC